GACAGAGGGUGCAAACGUUGUUCGGAAUUACUGGGCGUAAAGCGCGUGUAGGCGGCAGCGCAAGUCGGAUGUGAAAUCCCAUGGCUCAACCAUGGAAGUGCACCCGAAACUGCGUCGCUAGAGUCCUGGAGAGGGAUGUGGAAUUCCAGGUGUAGCGGUGAAAUGCGUAGAUAUCUGGAGGAACACCGGUGGCGAAGGCGGCAUCC
rnacentral:rRNA from 1 species